rnacentral:rRNA from 1 species
AGAACGAACGCUGGCGGCAUGCCUAACACAUGCAAGUCGAACGCGUGUAGCGAUACACGAGUGGCGGACGGGUGAGUAACGCGUGGGAACCUGCCCUGGAGUGUGGGAUAACCGAGGGAAACUUCUGCUAAUACCGCAUACGACCUGAGGGUGAAAGAUUUAUCGCUCUAGGAGGGGCCCGCGUCGGAUUAGCUAGUUGGUGGGGUAAAGGCCUACCAAGGCAGUGAUCCGUAGCUGGUCUGAGAGGAUGAUCAGCCACACUGGGACUGAGACACGGCCCAGACUCCUACGGGAGGCAGCAGUGGGGAAUAUUGGACAAUGGGGGCAACCCUGAUCCAGCAAUGCCGCGUGAGUGAUGAAGGCCUUAGGGUUGUAAAGCUCUUUCGCGCGCGACGAUGAUGACGGUAGCGCGAGAAGAAGCCCGGCUAACUUCGCGCCAGCAGCCGC